GGCUCCAGCAGAGAUGUCCGAAAAUCUUCAAGAAGGGUUUCAUGGCCAGGAGGACGAAUCCAGCUCAAACAGGUUUCAAGGUAUGCACCGGAAGAGCAGCUCAAGGCACCUGAAGCGGGACAAAGAACAGGGGUAAAGAGGAGUCAAGCUCAGAAACUCUGGGGUGAACAGUAGCCCAAAGACCACAAAGGUGUAUCUGGUCUGAGGAGCACAUGGAGGAUCAGAGAAGCGCAUCUCUCUUCAUGGAGGUGGCAGAUUAUGUUGCUCCUCCCAUCCCCCUUGCAAGGACUUAAACCCAGACUGAGGCUGGCAGGGGCAUGGGAGACAUUCUGAGGCCCUCACCUCUCUCUAGGCCCCUUUGGAUAUCCUGUGCCUGGUCCUCAGUGAAACCCUGGGCCAGGCUUGCCCUCAGGGUAAUGAAGUUGCAGAUC